rnacentral:rRNA from 1 species
CAGUAGCCGCGGUAAUACGUAGGGUGCGAGCGUUAAUCGGAAUUACUGGGCGUAAAGCGUGCGCAGGCGGUUGUGUAAGACAGGUGUGAAAUCCCCGGGCUUAACCUGGGAACUGCGCUUGUGACUGCACAGCUAGAGUAUGGCAGAGGGGGGUGGAAUUCCACGUGUAGCAGUGAAAUGCGUAGAGAUGUGGAGGAACACCGAUGGCGAAGGCAGCCCCCUGGGCCAAUACUGACGCUCAUGCGCGAAAGCGUGGGGAGCAAACAGGAUUAGAUACCCCCGUAGUCCCUGUCUCUUAUAC